rnacentral:rRNA from 1 species
UACGAAGGGGGCGAGCGUUGUUCGGAAUUACUGGGCGUAAAGGGCGCGUAGGCGGCGACUCAAGUUAGAUGUGAAAGUCCUGGGCUUAACCUGGGGACUGCAUUUGAUACUGGGUUGCUUGAAUUCGGGAGAGGAUAGCGGAAUUCCCAGUGUAGAGGUGAAAUUCGUAGAUAUUGGGAAGAACACCGGUGGCGAAGGCGGCUAUCUGGACCGACAUUGACGCUGAGGAGCGAAAGCGUGGGGAGCGAACAGG